CCUACGGGAGGCAGCAGUGGGGAAUAUUGGACAAUGGGGGGAACCCUGAUCCAGCCAUGCCGCGUGUGUGAAGAAGGCCCUCGGGUUGUAAAGCACUUUCAGUGAGGAAGAACGCCUGGUGGUUAAUACCCAUCAGGAAAGACAUCACUCACAGAAGAAGCACCGGCUAACUCCGUGCCAGCAGCCGCGGUAAUACGGAGGGUGCGAGCGUUAAUCGGAAUUACUGGGCGUAAAGCGCGCGUAGGUGGCUUGAUAAGCCGGUUGUGAAAGCCCCGGGCUCAACCUGGGAACGGCAUCCGGAACUGUCAAGCUAGAGGGCAGGAGAGGAAGGUAGAAUUCCCGGUGUAGCGGUGAAAUGCGUAGAGAUCGGGAGGAAUACCAGUGGCGAAGGCGGCCUUCUGGACUGACACUGACACUGAGGUGCGAAAGCGUGGGUAGCAAACAGGAUUAGAUACCCGGGUAGUC
rnacentral:rRNA from 1 species